rnacentral:precursor_RNA from 13 species
UAUACUGCAACAGACAAGGUAGACACGAUUUCUACCCACAAGGAACUUAGGGUCUCUCCCAUGUUAUCUUAAGUUCUUUGAGGACAGGGAUCGUGUCUACUACUACUGAUGGUAGUAUUU